UCGACAGAGUUUGAUCUGGCUCAGGACGAACGCUGGCGGCGUGCCUAAUACAUGCAAGUCGAGCGGACAGAAGGGAGCUUGCUCCCGGAUGUUAGCGGCGGACGGGUGAGUAACACGUGGGUAACCUGCCUGUAAGACUGGGAUAACUCCGGGAAACCGGAGCUAAUACCGGAUAGUUCCUUGAACCGCAUGGUUCAAGGAUGAAAGACGGUUUCGGCUGUCACUUACAGAUGGACCCGCGGCGCAUUAGCUAGUUGGUGGGGUAAUGGCUCACCAAGGCGACGAUGCGUAGCCGACCUGAGAGGGUGAUCGGCCACACUGGGACUGAGACACGGCCCAGACUCCUACGGGAGGCAGCAGUAGGGAAUCUUCCGCAAUGGACGAAAGUCUGACGGAGCAACGCCGCGUGAGUGAUGAAGGUUUUCGGAUCGUAAAGCUCUGUUGUUAGGGAAGAACAAGUGCGAGAGUAACUGCUCGCACCUUGACGGUACCUAACCAGAAAGCCACGGCUAACUACGUGCCAGCAGCCGCGGUAAUACGUAGGUGGCAAGCGUUGUCCGGAAUUAUUGGGCGUAAAGGGCUCGCAGGCGGUUUCUUAAGUCUGAUGUGAAAGCCCCCGGCUCAACCGGGGAGGGUCAUUGGAAACUGGGAAACUUGAGUGCAGAAGAGGAGAGUGGAAUUCCACGUGUAGCGGUGAAAUGCGUAGAGAUGUGGAGGAACACCAGUGGCGAAGGCGACUCUCUGGUCUGUAACUGACGCUGAGGAGCGAAAGCGUGGGGAGCGAACAGGAUUAGAUACCCUGGUAGUCCACGCCGUAAACGAUGAGUGCUAAGUGUUAGGGGGUUUCCGCCCCUUAGUGCUGCAGCUAACGCAUUAAGCACUCCGCCUGGGGAGUACGGUCGCAAGACUGAAACUCAAAGGAAUUGACGGGGGCCCGCACAAGCGGUGGAGCAUGUGGUUUAAUUCGAAGCAACGCGAAGAACCUUACCAGGUCUUGACAUCCUCUGACAACCCUAGAGAUAGGGCUUUCCCUUCGGGGACAGAGUGACAGGUGGUGCAUGGUUGUCGUCAGCUCGUGUCGUGAGAUGUUGGGUUAAGUCCCGCAACGAGCGCAACCCUUGAUCUUAGUUGCCAGCAUUCAGUUGGGCACUCUAAGGUGACUGCCGGUGACAAACCGGAGGAAGGUGGGGAUGACGUCAAAUCAUCAUGCCCCUUAUGACCUGGGCUACACACGUGCUACAAUGGACAGAACAAAGGGCUGCAAGACCGCAAGGUUUAGCCAAUCCCAUAAAUCUGUUCUCAGUUCGGAUCGCAGUCUGCAACUCGANUGCGUGAAGCUGGAAUCGCUAGUAANAGCGGAUCAGCAUGCCGCGG
rnacentral:rRNA from 1 species